rnacentral:lncRNA from 1 species
GCCAACUUUAACUGUUUUGCCGAAUUUUUAAGCCGCAUAUGUCAAGAAAAGUGUUGCAGUUAUAAGGACAGUGUAAGAUGUAAUGUAAGCGUACCAAGUAUGGUGGGGUUUUGGGACAUAGAGAAAUAGGUCUUCAUGUGGGAACAUGAAGACAAGUAUCCAGCUUAAUGCAGAGAUUAUAUGCCAUCCAACAUGUGCCGUUUCAGAAUCGAAACCUGGAAAACAUUGGAAUUUUAGGAGUCGUUUGGUAUGGGUGGUAUCUGAUAUGAUAUCGCCCAAUACCGUGGUAUUCGAGAUAUCUCCAUAUAUUGGAGCGCGAAUAUCAUGAUAUUCGAAGAUAUCAAUAUCACAAAACCGCGAGGAGAGUUUCUAAUAUCAUCCUAGUAUCAUUUCAUUCGGACAAAAAUACGCCCAAUUUUUACAUGCCACGUCACUUUGUGGGUGUCUUUGUAAUGAUUACAUUGUAAUAUAUAUGGUCAAUUUUGUCUAAAAUUGAGGGAAUAUUCGUUAAUACAUGUAACUAUCAUACUCACCAUAUGUCUAUAGAAUCCCUUCUCAAACUCAAUCUCAUCUAAUAUCGUGUACCAAACGACCCAUUAACCAUCAAAACAUUCUAAAUCUGAGAAGGGAAGUCUUUCAAUUUAAGAUUAACUGAAAUAAAAUGUUGCAAGCACGGCGAGAAAGCCAAAAGCUCUCUAGUACAAAAUGUAUCAUAGGUAAUUAUAUUAGGUUAAAAUCAUACAACAAAAGUAUAAGUAUAAUUGAUCCAUAUAAGAUACUGUCUCCGCACCAUCACAAUAUAAUAAAAUAAUUUGAAUUGAUGAAAAAUAUUAUCAAUCGGGCACUUGCCUUGAGGAAUAUGGGUGUAUCCAAGUAGCUUGGAUUUCUAUCAUGAAAUUUGCAUCAUCUGUUAAAAUCGAAUCAAUUAGGGUUAGUAGAGAAAGUAUUGAUAAAGCCAGAUGUGGAGAAGAUAUUCAGAUACAAUUAAUCAAUUAAGUAGCUACUUACGUAUUUUCUCAUAGAUUUGAAUGGAAAUCAAUAGAACUUGGGACUGUGAAGGUGUUCUUCAUAAUACACGGCAAA